CCGAAUUCGUCGACAACCUGGUUGAUCCUGCCAGUAGUCAUAUGCUUGUCUCAAAGAUUAAGCCAUGCACGUCUAAGUAUAAACGAGAUUAUACAGUGAGACUGCGGAUGGCUCAUUAAAUCAGUUAUAGUUUAUUUGAUGGUUCUUAUACCCACUUGGAUAACCGUGGAAAUCCUAGAGCUAAUACAUGCGUAUAACCUCGACUGAGAAAGCAGGGGGGUUUACUCUCUUGUCCCUUUUCGGAAGAGGCGUAUUUAUUAGAUACAAAAAACCGGCACUUUUUUUUAUAUUUAUAUUUCAUCUCUUAAAUCAUGUUUAAGAGGGGGAACCAUAUAUAUAUAAGAAUCUUUUUUCGGUGAUUCACAAUAACUCGAUCGGAUCGCGUACAGUAACUUCCACCCUCCUCUUUUUUUCUCUCUAUACAAAGAGGGAGAGAAGAGAGGGAGGAAGUUGGCGACGACUCAUUCGAAUUUCUGCCCCAUCAACCCUCGAUGGUAGGAUAGAGGCCUACCAUGGUCGUAACGGGUAACGGGGAAUUAGGGUUCGAUUCCGGAGAGGGAGCCUGAGAGAUGGCUACCACUUCUAAGGAAGGCAGCAGGCGCGCAAAUUACCCAAUCCCGACACGGGGAGGUAGUGACGACAAAUAACGAUGCGGGUCUUGACAAAAGCCUCGCGAUCGGAAUGAGCACGGCCCAAACCCCCUAACGAGUAGCAAUUGGAGGGCAAGUCUGGUGCCAGCAGCCGCGGUAAUUCCAGCUCCAAUAGCGUAUAUUAAAGCUGUUGCAGUUAAAAAGCUCGUAGUUGGAUCUCGGAAUGAGACAAGUAUUUUCCAGCCCAUCAAAGCUAUUUGGUGAGUUUUGCUGGCUUGUCCAUUCUCACCUUCUGGUUUUCCCGUUUCCCUCGUUGGUUCGAGUGGAAAUGAGCAAAAUAGGCCUUUUUCUUUUUCUUUUUCUUUCUAAAGGAAGGGGAGAGAGAGAAGGUCUAUUUGGAGAAUCAGAUCGUUUACCUUGAGGAAGUUAGAGCGUUCAAGGCGGGUGGAAUUUUAGCCACCGUCGAAUACGUCAGCAUGGGAUGAUGGAACAGGACCCUGCUCCCGUUUUGCCUGGUUUUACCGUAUGUCAAGGGAUUUAGUUGGCAUUGUUUCGGCAGUGUGUAUAUUAGAUUUCCGGCAUACAUCCAGCGGGAUUUGUUUAUUGCAGGGUAAUGACUGAUAGGGACGGUCGGGGGCAUUGAUAUUUAAUUGCUAGAGGUGAAAUUCUUGGAUUUAUGAAAGAUCAACUUCCGCGAAGGCAUCUGCCAAGGACGCCUUCGUUAAUCAAGAACGAGAGUUGGGGGAUCGAAGACGAUCAGAUACCGUCGUAGUCUCAACCGUAAACGAUGCCGACCGGCGAUCAGAGGGUGUCGCCGCGGAUGACUCCUCUGGCAGCCCCGCGGGAAACCUUGAGUCUUCGGGUUCCGGGGGGAGUAUGGUCGCAAGGCUGAAACUUAAAGGAAUUGACGGAAGGGCACCACCAGGAGUGGAGCCUGCGGCUUAAUUUGACUCAACACGGGGAAACUCACCAGGUCCAGACGUAGUGAGGAUUGACAGAUUGAGAGCUCUUUCUCGAUUCUAUGGGUGGUGGUGCAUGGCCGUCUUAGUUGGUGGAGCGAUUUGUCUGGUUAAUUCCGUUAACGAACGAGACCUUAACCUGCUAAAUAGUCGCACUGGUCCAUCCAUCGAGCCUCAUGGGUGGAUAUGAGCUGGGAGAGAAAGAUGGAGAAGGGAUUUUGGUUAGCUAGUUAAGUGGCUGGUCGAAGUUACCUGGCCGUUUUUUUGCUUCUGGCUUUAUUGCUUGUGGGCGGUAGGGCCAGUGUCUUUUUCAUUUCAUGAAGGGCUUCUUAGAGGGACUGUCAGCGCCCAGCUGACGGAGGCUUGAGGCAAUAACAGGUCUGUGAUGCCCUUAGAUGUUCUGGGCCGCACGCGCGCUACACUGAUUGGUCCAACGAGUGUAUUAUUGAGUUAAUUGCCUCGGCCGACAGGUCCGGGCAACCUCACGAGACCCAAUCGUGCUGGGGAUAGACCAUUGUAAUUAUUGGUCUUCAACGAGGAAUUCCUAGUAGGCGCGUGUCAUCAGCACGCGCCGACUACGUCCCUGCCCUUUGUACACACCGCCCGUCGCUCCUACCGAUCGAACGGCCCGGCGAAGCCCUCGGAGCUUGAUCUGUCUGUGGUUAGGGCAACUUGACUGCGAGGUCUGGGCAAAGUAGGCUAAACCUUACCGUUUAGAGGAAGGGGAAGUCGUAACAAGGUUUCCGUAGGUGAACCUGCAGAAGGAUCAAGCUUGGAUCCCGGG
rnacentral:rRNA from 1 species